AGAGUUUGAUCCUGGCUCAGGAUGAACGCUGGCGGCGUGCCUAAUACAUGCAAGUCGAACGCGAGCACUUGUGCUCGAGUGGCGAACGGGUGAGUAAUACAUAAGUAACCUGCCCUAGACAGGGGGAUAACUGCUGGAAACGGCAGCUAAGACCGCAUAGGUAUGGACACUGCAUGGUGACCAUAUUAAAAGUGCCAAGGCACUGGUAGAGGAUGGACUUAUGGCGCAUUAGCUGGUUGGCGGGGUAACGGCCCACCAAGGCGACGAUGCGUAGCCGACCUGAGAGGGUGACCGGCCACACUGGGACUGAGACACGGCCCAGACUCCUACGGGAGGCAGCAGUAGGGAAUUUUCGGCAAUGGGGGAAACCCUGACCGAGCAACGCCGCGUGAAGGAAGAAGGUUUUCGGAUUGUAAACUUCUGUUAUAAAGGAAGAACGGCGGCUACAGGAAAUGGUAGCCGAGUGACGGUACUUUAUUAGAAAGCCACGGCUAACUACGUGCCAGCAGCCGCGGUAAUACGUAGGUGGCAAGCGUUAUCCGGAAUUAUUGGGCGUAAAGAGGGAGCAGGCGGCAGCAAGGGUCUGUGGUGAAAGCCUGAAGCUUAACUUCAGUAAGCCAUAGAAACCAGGCAGCUAGAGUGCAGGAGAGGAUCGUGGAAUUCCAUGUGUAGCGGUGAAAUGCGUAGAUAUAUGGAGGAACACCAGUGGCGAAGGCGACGAUCUGGCCUGCAACUGACGCUCAGUCCCGAAAGCGUGGGGAGCAAAUAGGAUUAGAUACCCUAGUAGUCCACGCCGUAAACGAUGAGUACUAAGUGUUGGAUGUCAAAGUUCAGUGCUGCAGUUAACGCAAUAAGUACUCCGCCUGAGUAGUACGUUCGCAAGAAUGAAACUCAAAGGAAUUGACGGGGGCCCGCACAAGCGGUGGAGCAUGUGGUUUAA
rnacentral:rRNA from 1 species